ensembl:lncRNA novel transcript, antisense to FOXN3
GACAAAAGCUGCUACAACCUUCCCCCCCACACACCAAACCUUUCAAAUCAACUGUAGUUGCUAUGUAAGGUUAUUUGUUUCUAAGGCAACAGUGUAUAUCUAAGUACUAAUGGCCUGUCCUUUUGCCAGGCAACAAACAGCCUUGUGAUGCAACUGCACCUGUCUCGGCUACGCGUUACUAUGGAGACGCUCCAGUUGCUAUGGGUACCAUCACGCUAAUCGCCUAGCAAAGGCAGACAUACAGCAGUCUUCUCAGAGAGCCCAGCUGUUCCUCCCUGUCUCUUGCUGAAGACUGAUUGUCUAGGGCCUGUGAUGGAAUGCUUCUCAACUGAGAUGCAGAAGAACUUCAUUAAUGCUAUUUCAGAAGAUCACUUUGUGCUCCCUCCUGCAGAACAAACAGCAGACUAGGAAAAGAAUCUGCAAAGAAGUGGACUGUAAAAUUCCUGAAGUCUAUGACAUCAUGCCAUCCCUAAUUAACCUCAACUUGCAGUCCAAGGAUAAUUCCUCUUAACUAGGUGGUUACGAUAGAAACAUUUCUAUACAUUUUUAAAUAUUUUUUUGUAGAACUGAGGAAUGCACUUCAAAUUCAAGUACUAUGUAUUCAUAAAAAUUGAUCUUAAAAAUUUGGUUCUGAUUAUUUGGCUCUCUUUUGGAAUCUAACAUUAAGACACUUUUUAAAAAAGUGACAGGCUACUUACCCUCCCUUCCAAUGAUAUAUUUGUAAAAAUGGUACCCAUGACCUUACUGUCUCAAACAAAUGGGCAUGUGAGGAGGAUAAAAUGUCUCUAUUGUUUCUACUGUUCUCCUUGAAGAAGCAAAGACCAAGUAACCACAACAAAAUGGUCACCUGGGAGCACCGUCUACAUGGAGACUGCGAAAGACAACAGUGGGGACAACUGAGUGAGCCUCCACUGAAUGUCUGCAGAGACCGGCCAGAUGAGGGGAUGAUGGAGUUGCCUGCUUGACUCGUUCCUGUACUUUUAUCCCAACAAAACAUGACACACACCGAGAUGUGAAAGCUGUCGACUUUUCUUUGUAAAUGUUUCUACCCAGGAAGACAUGAUUUCACCCACCAUGAAGCCUUCUGGAAGCACAUUCCUCUGACGCUGCAGCAGCGAAGGAAAGAUGGAAAAGAGAAGUUAUCAUUUCUUUCUCAAGAUCCUGGCCCCAUGAGCCUCAGUGUAGCCCUAGUUCCUGGGAUCAGCACCAACAGGCAGGGAGGAGAGGCUCUGGCGCCCUGCAGACAGCACCAGGUUCUUGGCAUCAGGAGCUGGAUACAGAGUCCCUGAUAAUCCCAGCCACAGAAUAUUUCAAACUCACCGACAUGUCCUCUAAAUAUCAGAUAUGAAAAGGCUUCCACUCUUGCACCUGUCUUGCUAUUAUUUUACAGAUGUGUUCUAAAAGCUAUAAAGACGGAAAUCACUAUUAGUGUGUCACUUAUGUGAUAUUCAGACACCUGAGCUCUGUGAUGAUUUUAAUGCCCCACAGGUCUUUCAGAAAUCCACCUCAUAUACCUCAGAACGCCCCUCCAUCUGCAAGGGAACGCAUGUGGAACAGGUGGAGAAGGAAUUCUUUUAGGCCCAUGGGUAGAAUUGUAAGGACUCUUGUAAAUGCUUCUUCUGUAGUAGAGAAGCUGGACGGUAUGUGUGUGUGCUUAUGCGUGUUUGAAUGGACGCAGGAAAAAUCAAUAAUCUGCUUGCAUCAACACCUAAAUAAAACCAAAAUAAUCCCAUGAUUUGCCUAAAACCAAAUUAAUCUCUAGGAAAAGCCUGCUGUGACAGAGUUGUGUGGGGGCGGGAAUUACAAAAGAAACGCAGAAUUUCCCCGAGCUUCCGCUUUGCAGGAAUCUCUGUUCCGUUACUCACUAUUUUGAGAGAGCCCUGCUUCUUCCUCCUUCUCCCCACCACACGUCAAUGUCAUUUUCACAGGGGGGAGGCUACAGGAAGCACACAUCUGCAGUGUGUCACCUCCCGAGGCUGACAGAUCUACUCAGUAUUUGUUUGGGUUGAAAAUAGUUAUUUUUUUGUACUCUCUACACUAUUGUUUCCCAAGUGCCAAAAGCAGUCAAGAGCUAGCACGCUAACAACGAUCAAUCAUAAAAUGAUCAUGAAAACAUCCAAAUUAUAUUGACUUUGAAAUACUGUCAAACUCUACACUGCUAAGUUCUAAUAAAGAAAAGGAAACAGAAACACACCCCUCAUACUCCAAGUCAGAAGGCCAAAGAGGUGGCAUCUUUAAAAUCACUAUCUAGCUAAAUCGGUUUUAUCCAACUAAAUCUUAGGAUCCUCCCAAAUUAGUUUUACCACUCUGUCUUGGGAGGGCCUUUAGCAAAUAAGGGUUUAACUCUUCUUCUCCAUCUGAAACCUCAUCGCAUGACAUAGGCUGACUAAAAAGGGUAGAGGCACAGAAGCAUUUAAAAAAACUUCAAACACAUGCAAAACACACAGGAAGCUAAAAAGCGGAUCGUUUUAUAUACUUCUAAUAGCUGCCAUGCUAUGCCACUUCAAAGAGUCAAACUAUUACUCAAAUGAACUCAAUAUAUUAUGUGGCAUGAAGCCAUAAACUCUCACGUACACACAAAGUACACAUGGAGAGAUUUUAAAAUUUAACAUGAAAGUUAAAUAAUUAUUACAGAGAAACAUAAAGUAACUAGAAUAACUAACAUAAAGUUAUUCUGUAAUAACUUUAUUAUAGGCCGAGCCCAGUGGCUCACGACUGUAAUCCCAGCACUUUGGGAGGCCGAGGCGGGUGGAUCACGAGGUCAGGAGAUUGAGACCAUCCUGGCUAACAUGGUGAAACCCCGUC